rfam:Kineococcus radiotolerans SRS30216 plasmid pKRAD01, complete sequence.
CUCACGUGGACGCCGAGCCCUGCCACCACGUCGAGGUCCCCCGAGAACAUUCAUGGCAGGGGUGGGGGAACCACGUUUCCCGGGCGACGCCGGACCACCAGGUCCGGUCGAGCCCUUGGGGUGAAGCCGGUGCGAACCGGCCGGGCGAUACUCCCGCCCGAACCCGACAGCUCACCUCGCAGGCGUCGGAGAGGCCACCA